AAGUAUUCACUUAAUUGGUUUUCAAGAAAAACUUUAAAAUCUCACUAUUUUAAAGUUAAAGUGUUUUCCUUUAGGCUAUAACAUCUAACAGCUCUCAUGAAAAUCAGGAAGUAUAUUAUGAUUGUUGGUACGAGUUAAAGGUACGUUCAUUUAGGAUAAGCUGUACGUCAUUUCCCUUCUAAUUGCAUGUCCACACGUUUAUAAUUGAAAAUGUAUCUUACGUUACUGAACGUUGGCGAUGGGUACAAGAACCAAUUCACCAAUAAUUUAUAUUACCCUUUGAUAUAAAUAAAGAAAUAUAAACCAAUCAUGGUCUUACAGUGAAAGACGUUCUUUUAUCCUAAUUAAUUGCAGACUGUUUGAAUUUUGUAGAUGACAGCAGUGGAUGAUUAUAAUUGGCCAAUAAAAGUUGCAGGAGAAAGAAUCCGGAUAUUCCACGUA